CGGGGCGUGGCGCAGCCUGGUAGCGCACCUGCUUCGGGAGCAGGGGGUCGGAGGUUCGAAUCCUCUCGCCCCGACCA
rnacentral:tRNA from 1 species